AUACGUAGGUGGCAAGCGUUGUCCGGAAUUAUUGGGCGUAAAGCGCAUGUAGGCGGUUUGGUAAGUCGGUCGUGAAAAUGCGGUGCUUAACGCCGUAUGGCGAUCGAAACCGCUGAACUUGAGUGCAGGAGAGGAAAGGGGAACUCCCAGUGUAGCGGUGAAAUGCGUAGAUAUUGGGAAGAACACCGGUGGCGAAGGCGCCUUUCUGGACUGUGUCUGACGCUCAGAUGCGAAAGCCAGGGUAGCGAACGGGAUUAGAUACCCCGGUAGUCCUGGCCGUAAACGAUGGGUACUAGGUGCGGGAGGUAUCGACUCCUUCCGUGCCGGAGUUAACGCAAUAAGUACCCCGCCUGGGGAGUACGGCCGCAAGGCUUAAACUUAGAGGAAUUGACGGGG
rnacentral:rRNA from 1 species